rnacentral:rRNA from 1 species
UACGGAGGGUGCAAGCGUUGUCCGGAUUCACUGGGUUUAAAGGGUGCGUAGGCGGGCAGGUAAGUCAGUGGUGAAAUCUUCGAGCUUAACUCGGAAACUGCCGUUGAUACUAUCUGUCUUGAAUACCCGGGAGGUGAGCGGAAUAUGUCAUGUAGCGGUGAAAUGCUUAGAUAUGACAUAGAACACCAAUUGCGAAGGCAGCUCACUACAGGGUCAUUGACGCUGAGGCACGAAAGCGUGGGGAUCAAACAGG